GUCCCUCAUAGACCUCAAGAGCCAGAAGAGAGGCUGACCAGCUGGGCUGGGGAGUGCCUGGAUAGAGAAAGCAGGGAGAGAAAGGACCCUGGGGAAGAGGAAGCUCGGGAGGGACAGAGGGAGGGAGGGAGGGAAGAGGUACUAAGAGACGAAAGAUCCCUCAGGCCUCCCCACCCCCACCUCACUUUUUGCAGACAAUAAUCCCCUUCUGCCCCUUCUGUCCUGAGAUGAGGCAACCCCUCCCCCAACUCCACCCACAGCAUCCUUUCAAGUUCAUCAGCACCAUCUAUCACCACAGCCAAAAAGGUCUCAGUGCCUAUUCCUGCUCCCUGAGCCCUGACCCAGCCCUGGCUUUCCAGCCAGCUGCAAGUGAGAAAAACUUACUCUUCUCUUCAAGAGCAUUAUAAAAACUGAGAAUGCAACUUUCUCCUGAGUAAUGAGAACUGUCUCUUUAUGUCUAGCCCUUUCGUCCACCCCACCGUCUCGUGCUUUGCCUCUCCAGAUCCUCCAGCCAAGAUCCAUCUUCAGAUCAGGCAUCCAAGUCAGAUGGAGGAGGCCAGGCCUUGGCUGUGUAAUCCAGGAGCUCCAAUCUCAGCUGUUUGCUCCCCUCUUGGGAAAGCCUUAUGAACUACAGUAUCAUCACAUUUAUAAACAGAAACCAGGAAAUCAUGUCCAGGGACCAGCGUACUCAUGUGCAUGUGUUCCAGAAAUUCAAGUGUGAGGGGGGACCAUCUUUCCAAGGAUGGACUCCAUUCAAGUCCUUCAUUCUUACCCCCAACAAAUCCACUGAGAAUAAUUCCAUCUGGAGAGAGAGAGAGAGCUAAGCACAGGAGUCCCUUUCUUCUUUCCAACCAACCAGGACCUCGAGGGAUGCCUGUUCUCUGCCAUCCCCCACCUGAGUUUGGGGACCUCAGACAGGGGCCUGAGCUGGUAUGAGCUUUGGCAUAAGUCACAGAGAUUUAAUACCAUAUAUCCAGCGUCUGGUCUUUCAGAAUGACAUUUUCAUUAGAGUGGAAAUAUGCCACCUAAACAAACAAAAAAGUAUUUCUCAGCUUCCCCUGAAGAUGGCAGUGACCAGUGAAAUAUAAGGGGAAGUCACUGGGUGGGGAUUUUGGAAAGGAUUUGUAAAGGGAGGUUUCUCAGCUGAUAGAUACCCUUUUGCCUUCCCCAAUUUCUCCUACUUUCUAUCUAGAACGUCAACAUGAUGGCUGGAAUUCUAGUGGCCAUCUUAAGUCAUGGGGUGACCUUGAGAAACAGAAAGACACAUGGCGGCUGGGACAUGGAUGGUACCAAGGAGCCCUCUUGACAGGCCUGGAUUGCCAACCCAGACUUCUUUUACAUGAGAGAAGAGCAAACUUGAAUUAUAUUGGCCAGUAGCCUACUCAAUAUUUGGCCUUUCUGUCCUGCAACUGAACCUAAUACUAACAGAUACAGCAGGUCUCCAAAAACAGAAAGUACUGAGGCCCCUGGUGCUCAGAGAUCCCUGGAAAGAGUGACUGAGCUGAGAUAACCCACAGCCCCACCUUGAAUCCAAGACCCUCCAUUGGAAGCCAGGGCCUGCCUGUCAUUGUCUUCCAGGAAAGCUGUCUCAGUCACUUCCCCGGGCCUCAGUCUUUCUCAACACAAAUAUCACCAUCUCCAUAACACCCCUCUCCCAAAAUAAUGCUUGUAGCUCCCCACCUCCCUCCCUCGUGAAAUCUGAAGCCUGAUGAAGCCUCCCUAGACAGUUUGUGCAAAGAAUGGCACAAGCAUGAAUGAUGAUUUCAUCAAGAGUCUGCAGGGCACAAGGCUGUGCCAGUCCUUUUCUGGAAGGUCAGGGAUAGGAAGACAGGUUAAGGAAAUGCCAGAGGCUCUGAGUCUGACUGAGCCAGGGAAGGAGAACCAGGAUCAGUCCAUAAACAAGCAGGAAGUAGCCCCUUUUGUUUUGGCUUAGGCCUGCACCAGGGAAGCUGAGUCACUUAGGGGUAGGGAAUGGAGGCAGGGAGAGGGCAGAGCCCCCAGACUCGUGGUUAGGACCCCUAAGUGCAAAAUCCCAGUUCUGGCUCCAACUUGCCCAGAAAAUGAGGGUUUUUGGCUAGGUGAGCUAUGAAGCCACUUUCACCCCACGAGUCUGGCGCCAUGGUCCCUAGUUUAUGGAGCUUGUUAUCCGGUACACAGACCCCGUCUCACUCACUGUUCUCCACACCCUCUUCGGUGUUCCCCAAACCUCUAAAUGAGCCCUUGUGUCCACACUUUAACAUAAGCUGGACCCUCCGCCUGGAUUCCUGCCCCUCCAGCACAACUCAUUCCCUCUCCCCUUAUGAAGGUCUCUGUCUAAAUGUUACCCUCUCAAAGACACCUUUCCUGGUCACCCUGUCGUAGGUGGCACCUGGAUCACUCAUCCUAAUUGGUUUUCUUCACUUAAUAUUUGCUUGUUUGUUGGUUUGGAUACGGUGUUUCUCUCUGAUAUGGUUUGGAUCUGUGUCCCCAUCAAAUUUCAUGUUGAAUUGUAAUCCCCAGUGUUGGAGGUGGGGCCUGGUGGGAAGUGAUUGGAUCGUGAGGGCAGAGUUCUCGUUAACAGUUUAGCGCCAUCUCCUUGGUGCUGUCCUGGGGAUAGUGAGUGAGUUCCUCUGAAGUCUGGUUGUUUAAAAGGUGUGUAGCACCUCCCUGCUCUCUCUUGCUCCUGCUCCCGCCAUGUGAGAUACCUGCUCUUCAUUCACCUUCCCCCAUGAUUGCAAGGUUCCUUGGGCCUCCCCAGAAACCAAGCAGAUUCCGGCACCAUGCUUCCUGUACAGCCUGCAGAACUGUGAGCCAAUUAAACCUCUUCUCCUUAUAAAUUACCCAGCCUCAGGUAUUCUUUUAUAGCAAUGCAAGAAUGGCCUAAUACCCUCUCCCAUGAGAAUAUUAACUCCAUGAAGACAGAGAUUUUGUCUGUUUUGGUGCAUUGCUGAAUCCUCAGCAUGUAAAAUAGCACAUAGUAGACAUUUUAAUAAAUAGUUAACUGACAAACAGAAUGAGUGACUACACGUGCAAGUGUAUCUACAUUUUUUCAUCCACAUGCGUAUACAUAUAUACAUACUUCCAUGCACGCAUCCCACACCUACACACACACACACAC
rnacentral:lncRNA from 1 species